rnacentral:rRNA from 1 species
UACGAAGGGGGCUAGCGUUGUUCGGAAUCACUGGGCGUAAAGGCGCGUAGGCGGCCAACUAAGUCGGACGUGAAAUCCCUCAGCUUAACUGGGGAACUGCGUCCGAUACUGGAUGGCUUGGAUUCGGGAGAGGAUGCGGAAUUCCAGGUGUAGCGGUGAAAUGCGUAGAUAUCUGGAGGAACACCGGUGGCGAAGGCGGCAUCCUGGACCGAUAUUGACGCUGAGGCGCGAAAGCGUGGGGAGCAAACAGG